UACGUAGGGUGCAAGCGUUGCCCGGAUUUAUUGGGCGUAAAGGGCGCGUAGGCGGCUCGGCACGUCCGUUGUGAAAUCGCCCGGCUCAACUGGGCGGGGUCAGCGGAUACGGUCGAGCUUGAGCAAGCUAGGGGGCAAUGGAAUUCCCGGUGUAGCGGUGGAAUGCGCAGAUAUCAGGAGGAACACCAAUAGCGAAGGCAGCUCGCUGGGACGUUACUGACACUGAGGCGCGAAAGCGUGGGGAGCGAACAGG
rnacentral:rRNA from 1 species